AUUGAACGCUGGCGGCAUGCCUUACAUAUGCAAGUCGAACGGCAGCACGGGUGCUUGCACCUGGUGGCGAGUGGCGAACGGGUGAGUAAUAUAUCGGAACGUACCUUAUUGUGGGGGAUAACGCAGCGAAAGCUGUGCUAAUACCGCAUAAUCCCUAAGGGGGAAAGCGGGGGACCGUAAGGCCUCGCGCAAUUAGAGCGGCCGAUACCUGAUUAGCUAGUUGGUGAGGUAAAGGCUCACCAAGGCAACGAUCAGUAGCUGGUCUGAGAGGACGAUCAGCCACACUGGGACUGAGACACGGCCCAGACUCCUACGGGAGGCAGCAGUGGGGAAUUUUGGAUAAUGGGGGGAACCCUGAUCCAGCAAUGCCGCGUGAGUGAAGAAGGCCUUCGGGUUGUAAAGCUCUUUUGUCAGGGAAGAAACAGCAGCUCUAACACAGUUUGCGAAUGACGGUACCUGAAGAAUAAGCACCGGCUAACUACGUGCCAGCCGCCGCGGUAA
rnacentral:rRNA from 1 species